rnacentral:rRNA from 1 species
AUUGAACGCUGGCGGAAUGCUUUACACAUGCAAGUCGAACGGCAGCACGGGUGCUUGCACCUGGUGGCGAGUGGCGAACGGGUGAGUAAUGCACCGGAACGUAUCCAAUAAUGGGGGAUAACGCACCGAAAGGUGUGCUAAUACCGCAUACGCCCUGAGGGGGAAAGCGGGGGAUCGUAAGACCUCGCGUUAAUGGAGCGGCCGAUGCCGGAUUAGCUAGUUGGUGAGGUAAAGGCUCACCAAGGCGACGAUCCGUAGCUGGUCUGAGAGGACGACCAGCCACACUGGAACUGAGACACGGUCCAGACUCCUACGGGAGGCAGCAGUGGGGAAUUUUGGACAAUGGGCGCAAGCCUGAUCCAGCCAUUCCGCGUGAGUGAAGAAGGCCUUCGGGUUGGUUAAA